ensembl:lncRNA
UUGUUUUUUUUUUGUUUUUUUUUUUUUUGAAAAUUAAUUUCCCAAUGCUCCUCUUAAAAGGAACUUUGUUUUUCUUCAGUUUUUAAAUUUUACCUGUUGGAGUUAGGUAAGGUCAAGAUCCUUCAUCUCCAAACACAUUUUUCUUAUCUAAUUGCAGGCAACUCUACCAUAAUUAUGGUUCCAAAGACUUGUCUUCUGUGACCAAAAUUAACAAGCUAGUACACACUGUCAUCUUUCUCCCAGGAUGUUGUGGCCAUGCCUCCUCAGAAAUAGGAUAUCCAGUCUCAGCUUGUGCAGUGUUUCAGGAGGAAUUCUCCAGAUUCUCAGAUGCUUCUUGUAAAUUGAUUUUUUUAUUGAUUCAUUAUUCCCUGAAUGUAACACAUUCCCUGCAAAGGGUAAACAGCAGAGUAUAGAAAUACAUCUCUGAAGCUAGAGGGAAUUUCCUGGCAUAUAAUCUGUUUACUCAUUCACCCCAGCUAAGUCCUAAGCCUAAAAUUUAAAACUUUCAUAAAAUUGAUGAUUAGGAGUUGCUCUGAUGAUCUUUAUAUCAUUCACAGAUUUUGAGAGGAUCACGUGAACUAGAAAUUUUUCCAUUGUUUUGCUGUUGUUGUGCAUCUUUUGGUUUUGGUCCUGAAUUUAAAAAUUGCAAUAGCUUUUACAAUGAGAAAUUUACUGAAGACACAAUUUCAAGAUAGCAUUUACUUAAACUCAUGCUGCUUUGCAUGCUGGUGACCUAUUUCAAGACAGUCUACAAAGUCAGAAUGAACCAACACAUACCAUCUCUACAAAUUAAUCUGAGAGAAAAAUCAAGGCCUCAUUUUUAAUUUCAGGCAUCUACAUUAAUCCUUAAGCUUUACAGAGGCAUGAUAAUGAUAAGAAAAAUAAAUUUGCAAACAAAAUAUUUUGGUAACAAAGAUUUUAAUCAUAUUUUUCACUUCUAACUCUUAGGCUUCCUUACCUUUCCAGUGAUGUAACUUCAAUAAUACUUAAUAUGGACAUUGUUUAGAUUUAUAUUGAAUUCUGACCAACAUCAACAAAACAUGAAAGAAAUAAAAAGGGCAAGUCUUAAGAAAAGACUAAAAGAAACCACUGUAGGCCAGACUGGUGCUGCUUGCUGGAGUUCUGUUUCAGACAAGAUGGUGAUAGCCAAAGGGAAGUGGCACAGUUGAUAGUUACUUGCUUUUUCAACACAAUGGAUCAGUGGGGAUGUACAGAAAUGAAGCCAAAACCACUGAUAAGUCUGCACUGAGCCAUUCUAUCCAUUCAGAUUCUGUCUUCCCAUUUUGUGAAAAACAUCACAGACAACAUGCCAUUACAAAUCAAGCCAAAAUUAAUGCUCAUAAAUAUGUGAUCAGAGAAAGGCAGAGUCCCCAGAUAAAAGAUUAAUAAUGGCUGGAUGGCCUUAACAUAUUUCCUUUGAUUCAUGGGAGCAUGGUUAUAGCACAGGGAACUGCCAUUGCUUUCAGAUGAAACAAAUGUCUUUGUAUUGACUAUCGAAAGCAGCAGAUGUUCUGCAAACCAGUACUUUCACAAAGGGACGGCCUUGGAACUAUUUUGUAAACAGCCUAGCUUAAAUUUUAAUACAUGCACUUUGAGGAUGGCUGUGUGACAGAUGGGUUGGGCAAGCUCUGUAAUGCAAAGGGCAUCUAACUGAAUUUGGAAAGCCUCAAGCAGCCUGGUUUGUUAUUGGAAAAAUAAAGUCUGAGAGCCUGUGCGUAUGCUUGUACAUUUCUCUGUGUGUGUAUGUGUUAUUUUCUGUGUAUAUAUUUAUGAGAAAAUAAGAGUUCUUUCUCCAAAAUGUUUCAAAACCAUUAUGGAUCAGUACAGAUAUGCACAUCUAUAUAUAUAUAUAUAUAUAUUAGUACAGAUAUACAUAUAUAUCUAUAUAUACAUAUAUAUAAAUGUAAUUUUCUGAAAGCGUUUUUCCACAUUUGAUUUUUUUCUUUCUUUAAGUGACGAGCUUACAAAUAGAUACUUAAUGAAAGCAUGGUUUAAAAGCAGUUGGAAAACUCCAGUGAUACUGUGAAGCUACUAAAUUAAUGUUGUUAGGGUCUGUCCUUCAGGUGUAAAUCCUACUGUGUGCAGCUUACAAAGGCACAGCAGAGCACCA